CAGUCGACGGUAUGUGGCAACCAUAGAGUGGCGAACGGGUGAGUAACACGUGGGAACGUAUCUUUUGCAGGGGGAUAACUGACCGAAAGGACAGCUAAUACCGCAUAAGUCCGAGAGGAGAAAGGUGCAACAGCAUCGGCAGAAGAGCGGCCCGCGGUCCAUCAGCUAGUUGGUGAGGUAAGGGCUUACCAAGGCGACGACGGAUAGCCGGCGUGAGAGCGUGGCCGGCCACAAGGACACUGAGAUACGGGUCCUACUCCUACGGGAGGCAGCAGUGCGGAAUUUUAGAUAAUGGAGGGAACUCUGAUCUAGCGACGCCGCGUGCAGGAAGAAGCUCUUCGGAUUGUAAACUGCUGUGGUAAGGGAAAAAUGCUAUGUAGGGUGGAAAGCUACAUAGAGGGAUGGUACCUUACUAGAAAGCCCCGGCUAACUACGUGCCAGCAGCCGCGGUAAUACGUAGGGGGCGAGCGUUACCCGGAAUCACUGGGCGUAAAGGGAGCGUAGGUGGCCUAACAUGUCAACUGUGAAAACCCGGAGCUCAACUCCGGACUUGCAGUUGAAACUGGUAGGCUUGAGGACGGUAGAGGAAGACGGAACUGCCAGUGUAGGGGUAAAAUCCUUAGAUAUUGGCAGGAACGCCGGUGACGAAGGUGGUUUUCUGGGCCGGUUCUG
rnacentral:rRNA from 1 species